UACGAAGGUGGCAAGCGUUGUUCGGAUUUACUGGGCGUACAGGGAGCGUAGGCGGUUCGGUAAGCCCUCUGUGAAAUCUCCAGGCUUAACCUGGAACAGUCGGAGGGGACUGCUGGGCUAGAGGACGGGAGAGGAGCGCGGAAUUCCCGGUGUAGCGGUGAAAUGCGUAGAGAUCGGGAGGAAGGCCGGUGGCGAAGGCGGCGCUCUGGAACGUUUCUGACGCUGAGGAGCGAAAGCGUGGGGAGCGAACAGG
rnacentral:rRNA from 1 species